ensembl:miRNA
AUGUGUAGCUAUUAGGUUGGUGCAAAAGUAAUUGUGGCUUUUGCCAUUACUUCCAAAGGCAAAAAACACAAUUACUAUUGCACCAACUUACUAUUU